rnacentral:ncRNA from 2 species
UCAAAUUGAAUAACAGACGGUUUUCUCCUUUUGCGAGAAAUUAAAAGGGAAUUGGGUUAGACUCCCAAGCAACAGCCAUUACCGUAUUUGAUGAAGAAAAAUCAUCAGCCAUUGGGAAACCGAGAAGGCGAUUUUUUAAGCAAUGCUAUAUCAUAAGUCGGGAGACCUGCCGCAAACUUAAAUUCAGC